GAUGAACGCUGGCGGCGUGCCUAAUACAUGCCAGUCGAGCGAACGGACGAGAAGCUUGCUUCUCUGAUGUUAGCGGCGGACGGGUGAGUAACACGUGGAUAACCUACCUAUAAGACUGGGAUAACUUCGGGAAACCGGAGCUAAUACCGGAUGAUAUUUUGAACCGCAUGGUUCAAAAGUGAAAGACGGUCUUGCUGUCACUUAUAGAUGGAUCCGCGCUGCAUUAGCUAGUUGGUAAGGUAACGGCUUACCAAGGCAACGAUGCAUAGCCGACCUGAGAGGGUGAUCGGCCACACUGGAACUGAGACACGGUCCAGACUCCUACGGGAGGCAGCAGUAGGGAAUCUUCCGCAAUGGGCGAAAGCCUGACGGAGCAACGCCGCGUGAGUGAUGAAGGCCUUCGGAUCGUAAAACUCUGUUAUUAGGGAAGAACAUAUGUGUAAGUAACUGUGCACAUCUUGACGGUACCUAAUCAGAAAGCCACGGCUAACUACGUG
rnacentral:rRNA from 1 species